GUCUAAGUUGAGCACUGAUUUAGGAAGAACAAAGUCAUACAUAUACCCUGCCUAUACCUCUUGAAAAGAACAAAAUGUCUAUGAUCUAAUAACAAACGAAAAAAAUAUAUCUUCAAUUAAUAAUUAUUGAGGAUGGUGCAGAGCAGAGCCCCAACGCAUGUUUCGCCGGUAAGGCAGUUCUUCAAGGGGGAUAAGACCAUUGUG